GGACUCUUAGCUCAGUUGGUUAGAGCACUCGGCUCAUAACCGAUCGGUCGCAGGUUCGAGUCCUGCAGAGUCCACCA
rnacentral:tRNA from 1 species